rnacentral:rRNA from 1 species
UACGUAGGGUGCGAGCGUUAAUCGGAAUUACUGGGCGUAAAGCGUGCGCAGGCGGUCUCGUAAGCUGGGUGUGAAAGCCCCGGGCUUAACCUGGGAAUGGCAUUCAGGACUGCGAGGCUCGAGUGUGGCAGAGGGAGGUGGAAUUCCACGUGUAGCAGUGAAAUGCGUAGAGAUGUGGAGGAACACCGAUGGCGAAGGCAGCCUCCUGGGCCAGCACUGACGCUCAAGCACGAAAGCGUGGGGAGCAAACAGG